rnacentral:tRNA from 1 species
GGAGAGAUGGCCGAGCGGUUGAAGGCACUGGUCUUGAAAACCAGCGAAGCGCGAGUUUCCGUGGGUUCGAAUCCCACUCUCUCCGCCA